GACGAACGCUGGCGGCGUGCUUAACACAUGCACGUCGAACGAGUGGCGAACGGGUGAGUAACACGUGGGUGACCUGCCCUGCACUUCGGGAUAAGCCUGGGCAACUGGGUCUAAUAACGGAUAGUGUGGGAUGGGCCCGAGGCCUAUAUGAUUGUUGGUGGGGUAAUGGCUGCCAAGGCGCGACGGGUAGCCGGCCUGAGAGGGUUGACGGCCACAUUGUGACUGAGACACGGCCCAGACUCCUACGGGAGGCAGCAGUGGGGAAUAUUGCACAAUGGGCGGAAGCCUGAGGCAGCAACGCCGCGUGAGUUAGGAAGGUUUUCGGAUCGUAAAGCUCUGUUGUUAAGGAAGCGGUACUUAACCAGAAAGGGACGGCUAACUACGUGCCAGCCGCCGCGGUAAUAC
rnacentral:rRNA from 1 species